AUUGAACGCUGGCGGCAGGCCUAACACAUGCAAGUCGAGCGGAUGAAGGGAGCUUGCUCCUGGAUUCAGCGGCGGACGGGUAAGUAAUGCCUAGGAAUCUGCCUGGUAGUGGGGGAUAACGUCCGGAAACGGGCGCUAAUACCGCAUACGUCCUGAGGGAGAAAGUGGGGGUUCUUCGGACCUCCCGCUAUCAGAUGAGCCUAGGUCGGAUUGGCUAGUUGGUGGGGUAAAGGCCUACCAAGGCGACGAUCCGUAACUGGUCUGAGAGGAGGAUCAGUCACACUGGAACUGAGACACGGUCCAGACUCCUACGGGAGGCAGCAGUGGGGAAUAUUGGACAAUGGGCGAAAGCCUGAUCCAGCCAUGCCGCGUGUGUGAAGAAGGUCUUCGGAUUGUAAAGCACUUUAAGUUGGGAGGAAGGGCAGUAAGUUAAUACCUUGCUGUUUUGACGUUACCAACAGAAUAAGCACCGGCUAACUACGUG
rnacentral:rRNA from 1 species